rnacentral:rRNA from 1 species
UACGUAGGGGGCAAGCGUUGUCCGGAAUCAUUGGGCGUAAAGAGCGUGUAGGCGGUUUCGUAAGUCCGACGUGAAAGUCCAGGGCUCAACCCUGGAAUGCCGUUGGAUACUGCGGAACUAGAGUCCGGAAGGGGCGAGUGGAAUUCCUGGUGUAGCGGUGAAAUGCGCAGAUAUCAGGAGGAACACCUAUGGCGAAGGCAGCUCGCUGGGACGGUACUGACGCUGAGACGCGAAAGCGUGGGGAGCAAACAGG